ACGUCAAGUCAUCAUGGCCCUUACGUCCAGGGCUACACACGUGCUACAAUGGGGUAUACAAAGAGCAGCAAUACGGUGACGUGGAGCAAAUCUCAAAAAUAUCUCCCAGUUCGRAUUGUAGUCUGCAACUCGACUACAUGAAGUUGGAAUCGCUAGUAAUCGUAGAUCAGCUAUGCUACGGUGAAUACGUUCCCGGGUCUUGUACUCACCGCCCGUCACACCAUGGGAGUUGAACUCAUUCGAAGCGGGGAUGCUAAAGUAGCUACCUUCCACAGUGGAUUUAGCGACUGGGGUGAAGUCGUAACAAGGUAACC
rnacentral:rRNA from 1 species